GGGAGAGGCGGGGCCCUUCCACGCUCAGGGCGGGCGGGAAUCCAAAUUUCUCCUUUGCCCUUCUGCACAACGAGCCGUUGGGAUAAUGUUGCUGCCUCCAAAAAAGAAUAUCCUGAUACAUGUGCUGUAUGAUGUAUGAUACAAAGAUAUGGAUUUCUGCAGGAACUAAUGGAGUGUGAUAGGAGCAAGAGCUUCUUUUGAGACUGCUGGACCU